UUAAGGCUUAUCGGGUACGUUAUUUACUUCAAUACGUAUUCUACCUGGCAAGGUAAAUGCAUUCACAUGGAGGAUAUCUACGUGGUUCCGGAGUACCGCAGUUAGGGCAUAGGAUCAAAAUUGAUUGGGUCUGUCUGUAAGGUUGCUGAUUUACAAAACUGUGGAAGAGUUCAAUUCAUUGUUCGGGAUUCGAACAAAUCUGCCAUGAAAUUUUACAAACAUCAAGGAGCAAUAGAUUUGACAGAAGUGCAAGAAUGGCAUCUGUUUCGAUUAACCAGUGAUGCGAUAGAGAAAGUAGCAGCAAAAUAUGAUUAAUGAAAUAUUUUUUUUAAAUGAAAUGUAUUUUAUUUGAUAACUUUUUAAAUGUGUGUGUAUUUCUCUGAAUAAGUCUGUUUGCAAAUAUGUAACAGAUUCGGGUUUAAUUUCUUUCGGGAUUGUUUUGUGUUAUUUAUGAAAUUGAUAAAAAUAAAUUACUGACAUGUUU